ACCUUGGCCUCCCAAAGUGUUGGGAUUACAGGUGUGAGCCACUGCACCUGGCCGGUCUCUGUCUUUUAGAACCUUAUGGUGAUGGAACACAGAGCAGGCACUUGCUGGCUAUUAGCUGACUGCCCAAAUGAAUGCACUAUCAGACACUGCAGGAAAAAGGAUAAAGAGAACACUUUCAAGUUUCUCUUUCUUCAGUUCUUUGCUACUCAUCUACUCUGUCUUUUAAUGGGCCUCUUCCACUUCCUCCUUCUGUGCCUCACCAUGGGUCACUGUGGUCAGGGAGACUCAGCUCUUUGGCCUAGUAUGUAAAUCUAAAAGCUGUGCAAUGGUUCUAUUUAAAUUGGAACAAUUCAUGCAGCCAGUCUUUACUGAACAUGUACGUGCCUAGGAAGUCUCAGGAAUGGGUAAGUGCUCCUGCUCCCACACAGUCUACAGACCUGGGUGCAAUGGUGAGAAAGACCUCAGUAAAGCAAAGGAAUUACGAAAGGGAGAGGAUAGAAGAUAAAGUACAUAAUAGUUUCCUGAAGCAGCAGAAUGAAAGAACUCUCUGUGGCAUGAAAAUUUACUGCUAAAGUCAAGCCUUUGGCCUCAUCCUAUUCUGACAUCACAGGGAGGCAGCAGCUGAGGCUGUG
rnacentral:lncRNA from 1 species